rnacentral:rRNA from 1 species
AUUGAACGCUGGCGGCAGGCUUAACACAUGCAAGUCGAGCGGAGCGAGGGUGCUUGCACCUUAGCUUAGCGGCGGACGGGUGAGUAAUGCUUAGGAAUCUGCCUAUUAGUGGGGGACAACAUUCCGAAAGGAAUGCUAAUACCGCAUACGCCCUACGGGGGAAAGCAGGGGAUCUUCGGACCUUGCGCUAAUAGAUGAGCCUAAGUCGGAUUAGCUAGUUGGUGGGGUAAAGGCCUACCAAGGCGACGAUCUGUAGCGGGUCUGAGAGGAUGAUCCGCCACACUGGGACUGAGACACGGCCCAGACUCCUACGGGAGGCAGCAGUGGGGAAUAUUGGACAAUGGGCGGAAGCCUGAUCCAGCCAUGCCGCGUGUGUGAAGAGGCCUUUUGGUUGUAAAGCACUUUAAGCGAGGAGGAGGCUCUUAAGGUUAAUACCCUUGAUGAGUGGACGUUACUCGCAGAAUAAGCACCGGCUAACUCUGUGCCAGCCGCCGCUGUAACAC